rnacentral:rRNA from 1 species
CCCUUAGACGUUCUGGGCCGCACGCGCGCUACACUGACCAGUGCAACAAGCAUCCGUCCUUGGCCGACAGGCCCGGGCAAUCUUUGAACGCUGGUCGUGAUGGGGAUAGACUUUUGCAAUUUUUGGUCUUCAACGAGGAAUUCCUAGUAAACGCAAGUCAUCAACUUGCAUUGAUUACGUCCCUGCCCUUUGUACACACCGCCCGUCGCACCUACCGAUUGGAUGGUCCGGUGAAGCCUCCGGAUUGGCGCGCACCCCGGUGCCGCCGAGAAGUUGGCUAAACCUUACCAUUUAGAGGAAGGUGAANUCGUAACA